AAGUCGUAACAAGGUAACCGUAGGUGAACCUGCGGUUGGAUCAUUAACAAAUUGAUCGAGGCAUAUGGCCUUUCACGGCUUUGCCUGCGUUUCUCUCGUGAAAGCGAGGUUGAAACACACACCCAAUUGUGAACUGUUUUUUGUCUCUGGCGGUGGGGUUUGCGAGGAAGCAUUCUUGCUUCUCUUUCAAGCCUGUCAGCAACGGUCAUAUGAUGCCUUUGUUCUUUUCUUGGGACGAGGGGGCCACGUGAACGCUGCCGUGGACAAGCCGCCAACCGUUUCUUCAAUAACACAUUGUCUGAUUUUGUAUGUCUUACCUGUUUGCUUUGUAUGAAUGUACAAAAAACAACUUUUGGCAACGGAUCUCUUGGCUCUC
rnacentral:misc_RNA from 1 species